rnacentral:rRNA from 1 species
AGCAGCCGCGGUAAUUCCAGCUCCAAUAGCGUAUAUUAAAGUUGUUGCAGUUAAAAAGCUCGUAGUUGAAUUUCGGGGUUAGUAGGCUGGUCGUGCCACAGGUAUGCACUGGUCUUACUGAUUCCUCCUUCCUGAUGAACCGUAAUGCCAUUAAUUUGGUGUUGCGGGGAGUCUGGACUGUUACUUUGAAAAAUUAGAGUGUUUAAAGCAGGCUAACGCUUGAAUACAUUAGCAUGGAAUAACGAAAUAGGACGUUCGAUCCUAUUUUGUGGUUUCUAGGAUUGACGUAAUGAUUAAUAGGGAUAGUUGGGGGCAUUAGUAUUCAAUUGUCAGAGGUGAAAUUCUUGGAUUUAUUGAAGACUAACUACUGCGAAAGCAUUUGCCAAGGAUGUUUUCAUUAAUACAAGAACGAAAGUUAGGGGAUCGAAGACGAUCAG